GAUGAACGCUGGCUACAGGCUUAACACAUGCAAGUCGUGGGGAAACGGCAUUAUGUGCUUGCACAUUCUGGACGUCGACCGGCGCACGGGUGAGUAUCGCGUAUCCAACCUGCCCCUUACUUGGGGAUACCCCGUUGAAAGACGGCCUAAUACCCGAUGUGUUUCAUUGACGGCAUCCGAUAUGAAACAAAGGUUUUCCGGUAAGGGAUGGGGAUGCGUCUGAUUAGCUAGUUGGCGGGGCAACGGCCCACCAAGGCGACGAUCAGUAGGGGUUCUGAGAGGAAGGUCCCCCACAUUGGAACUGAGGCACGGUCCAAACUCCUACGGGAGGCAGCAGUGAGGAAUAUUGGUCAAUGGACGCAAGUCUGAACCAGCCAAGUAGCGUGCAGGAUGACGGCCCUAUGGGUUGUAAACUGCUUUUAUGUGGGAAUAAAGUGGCGCACGUGUGCGCCAUUGCAUGUACCUCAUGAAUAAGGACCGGCUAAUUCCGUGCCAGCAGCCGCGGUAAUACGGAAGGUCCGGGCGUUAUCCGGAUUUAUUGGGUUUAAAGGGAGUGUAGGCGGUCUGUUAAGCGUGUUGUGAAAUUUAGGUGCUCAACAUUUAACUUGCAGCGCGAACUGUCAGACUUGAGUACACGCAGCGCAGGCGGAAUUCAUGGUGUAGCGGUGAAAUGCUUAGAUAUCAUGAGGAACUCCGAUCGCGAAGGCAGCCUGCGGGAGUGUUACUGACGCUUAAGCUCGAAGGUGCGGGUAUCGAACAGG
rnacentral:rRNA from 1 species